CAGUAGCCGCGGGAACACGAAGGGUGCAAGCGUUAAUCGGAAUUACUGGGCGUAAAGCGUGCGUAGGCGGUGAGUUAAGUCUGCUGUGAAAUCCCCGGGCUCAACCUGGGAAUGGCAGUGGAUACUGGCUCGCUAGAGUGUGUCAGAGGAUGGUGGAAUUCCCGGUGUAGCGGUGAAAUGCGUAGAGAUCGGGAGGAACAUCAGUGGCGAAGGCGGCCAUCUGGGACAACACUGACGCUGAGGCACGAAAGCGUGGGGAGCAAACAGGAUUAGAUACCCCAGUAGUCCCUGUCUCUUAUAC
rnacentral:rRNA from 1 species